CUAAGAAUAUUCCGCAAUGGAGGAAACUCUGACGGAGCGACGCCGCGUGGAUGAUGAAGGUCGGAAGAUUGUAAAAUCCUUUUAUGACUGAGGAAUAAGCCGGGUGAGAGAAACGCCUGGUGGUGACUGUAGGUCAUGAAUAAGCAACGGCUAAUUACGUGCCAGCAGCCGCGGUAACACGUAAGUUGCGAGCGUUGUUCGGAAUUAUUGGGCGUAAAGGGCAUGUAGGCGGUUAUCUAAGCUUGGUGUGAAAGGCAGGGGCUCAACUCCUGGACUGCAUUGAGAACUGGAUAACUAGAGUUACUGAAGUGAAAUCAGAAUUCCAGGUGUAGGGGUGAAAUCUGUAGAUAUCUGGAAGAAUACCAAUGGCGAAGGCAGGUUUCAGGCAGAUAACUGACGCUGAGGUG
rnacentral:rRNA from 1 species